AGAGUUUGAUCAUGGCUCAGAUUGAACGCUGGCGGCAGGCUUAACACAUGCAAGUCGAGCGGAGCGAGGGUGCUUGCACCUUAGCUUAGCGGCGGACGGGUGAGUAAUGCUUAGGAAUCUGCCUAUUAGUGGGGGACAACGUUUCGAAAGGAACGCUAAUACCGCAUACGUCCUACGGGAGAAAGCAGGGGAUCUUCGGACCUUGCGCUAAUAGAUGAGCCUAAGUCGGAUUAGCUAGUUGGUGGGGUAAAGGCCUACCAAGGCGACGAUCUGUAGCGGGUCUGAGAGGAUGAUCCGCCACACUGGGACUGAGACACGGCCCAGACUCCUACGGGAGGCAGCAGUGGGGAAUAUUGGACAAUGGGGGGAACCCUGAUCCAGCCAUGCCGCGUGUGUGAAGAAGGCCUUUUGGUUGUAAAGCACUUUAAGCGAGGAGGAGGCUUACCUAGUUAAUACCUGGGAUAAGUGGACGUUACUCGCAGAAUAAGCACCGGCUAACUCUGUGCCAGCAGCCGCGGUAAUACAGAGGGUGCGAGCGUUAAUCGGAUUUACUGGGCGUAAAGCGUGCGUAGGCGGCUUUUUAAGUCGGAUGUGAAAUCCCCGAGCUUAACUUGGGAAUUGCAUUCGAUACUGGGAAGCUAGAGUAUGGGAGAGGAUGGUAGAAUUCCAGGUGUAGCGGUGAAAUGCGUAGAGAUCUGGA
rnacentral:rRNA from 1 species